rnacentral:rRNA from 1 species
UCAAGAUGUUUUAUUCCACUAGAUGUACUGAUCUUGGAAGCUAAGCAGGAUCGAGCCUGGUUAGUACUUGGAAGGGAGACCAUCUAGGAAUACCAGGUGCUGUAGGCC